AUGCAAGUCGGACGGUAGAGGGAGCUUGCUCCCUUGAGAGUGGCGAACGGGUGAGUAACACGUAGAUGAUCUGCCUUUUAAGUUGGGGAUAGCCCAUGGAAACAUGGGGUAAUACCGAAUACGUUCCUAUUAGUAAAGUGGUAGGAAGAAAGGGGCUAAGGCCCCGCUUAAAGAUGAGUCUGCGGUUCAUUAGCUAGUUGGUGGGGUAAAGGCCUACCAAGGCGACGAUGAAUAGCCGGCCCUGAGAGGGUGAACGGCCACACUGGAACUGAGACACGGUCCAGACUCC
rnacentral:rRNA from 1 species